rnacentral:rRNA from 1 species
UGGGGAAUUUUGGACAAUGGGCGCAAGCCUGAUCCAGCCAUGUCGCGUGCGGGAAGAAGGCCUUCGGGUUGUAAACCGCUUUUGUCAGGGAAGAAAUCUUCUGAGUUAAUACCUCGGGAGGAUGACGGUACCUGAAGAAUAAGCACCGGCUAACUACGUGCCAGCAGCCGCGGUAAUACGUAGGGUGCAAGCGUUAAUCGGAAUUACUGGGCGUAAAGCGUGCGCAGGCGGUUUUGUAAGACAGAGGUGAAAUCCCCGGGCUCAACCUGGGAACUGCCUUUGUGACUGCAAGGCUUGAGUGCGGCAGAGGGGGAUGGAAUUCCGCGUGUAGCAGUGAAAUGCGUAGAUAUGCGGAGGAACACCGAUGGCGAAGGCAAUCCCCUGGGCCUGCACUGACGCUCAUGCACGAAAGCGUGGGGAGCAAACAGGAUUAGAUACCCUGGUAGUCCACGCCCUAAACGAUGUCAACUGGUUGUUGGGAAGGUUCCUUCUCAGUAACGUAGCUAACGCGUGAAGUUGACCGCCUGGGGAGUACGGCCGCAAGGUUGAAACUCAAAUGAAUUGACGGGGUCAUAGCUGUUUCCUG